rnacentral:rRNA from 1 species
UACAGAGGGUGCGAGCGUUAAUCGGAAUUACUGGGCGUAAAGCGUGCGCAGGCGGCUUUGCAAGACAGAUGUGAAAGCCCCGGGCUUAACCUGGGAAUGGCAUUUGGGACUGCAAGGCUUGAGUGCGGCAGAGGAGACUGGAAUUCCUGGUGUAGCAGUGAAAUGCGUAGAUAUCAGGAGGAAUACCGAUGGCGAAGGCAGGUCUCUGGGCUGACACUGACGCUCAUGCACGAAAGCGUGGGGAGCAAACAGG